rnacentral:lncRNA from 1 species
AGAAGCAGAUCAGAAAUCGAACACGUUUGCUUUUGCGAUUCGAGAGCCCUUUCUGGCGCGGAGCUAGGGGCGGUGUUACGUAGCUGCCCUGAACUGAGAGCAGCGUUGGCCGGGGGCUAGGGAGCCGGGCUGUUCCACGCUCACUGUGCGCCUCGGGCGGCGGGGCUCGGGCUCUGUCCGAGGUGCUGAACUCCGGGGCUCCGGCCGCGCCGGCAGAGUGUGCCAGCGUCCAUUAUUGCCAGUGUCUGUGGGCAUCUUCCAGAAGGCCGAGCAUGGGGGUCAGGUGAAACCAGGGCGCUCCCAAGCACCUUGCCCAGUAGAGCCCCCUUGCACCCUGCUUGGUUGGUCAGCACCCCAUGGACAUGCAGCCUUGACCUUGGCAUGGGAAGCCUCCACUGUGUCAAGCCCAACAUCCAGGCCUCUGAAGACAGUCAUUCAGAAGCUGAGAUUCUUGAGUAUGACUGUUCCCCGGGGCAAGGGUAUCUCAACUUUGGCACUACUGACAUCUCCACGUUUUCCAGGAGAGAAUCCACUUUUUGUUUUAUCUGGGUCAACUCCUUCAUAAUGGCCUGAAGGUCAUCUCCUCUCAACUUU